AUCCAGCUGAUGAGUCCGAAGUAGGACGAAAUGCGCGUUAUCCUGGAU
rnacentral:hammerhead_ribozyme from 1 species